rnacentral:rRNA from 1 species
ACUCAAAUGAAUUGACGGGGGCCCGCACAAGCGGAGGAACAUGUGGUUUAAUUCGAUGAUACGCGAGGAACCUUACCCGGGCUUGAAAUGCAUCUGACCGAUCUGGAAACAGAUUUUCUAGCAAUAGCAGAUGUGUAGGUGCUGCAUGGUUGUCGUCAGCUCGUGCCGUGAGGUGUCGGCUUAAGUGCCAUAACGAGCGCAACCCCUAUCAUUAGUUACUAACAGGUUAAGCUGAGGACUCUAGUGAGACUGCCACCGUAAGGUGUGAGGAAGGUGGGGAUGACGUCAAAUCAGCACGGCCCUUACGUCCGGGGCGACACACGUGUUACAAUGGGGGGUACAGAGGGUUGCUACUUGGUGACAAGAUGCUAAUCUCUUAAAGCCUCUCUCAGUUCGGAUCGAAGUCUGCAACUCGACUUCGUGAAGCUGGAUUCGCUAGUAAUCGCGCAUCAGCCAUGGCGCGGUGAAUACGUUCCCGGGCCUUGUACACACCGCCCGU